rnacentral:misc_RNA from 1 species
UUUCCGUAGGUGAACCUGCGGAAGGAUCAUUAAAGAGAUCAUGCCCCCACGGGUAGACCUCCCACCCUUUGUUUACAAUACCUUUGUUGCUUUGGCGGGCCCGUUUGGCCCCGCGCUGAACAACCGGCCCCGGCUGGUCAGUGCCCGCCAGAGAACCGAAAACUCUGAAUUAAAUGUCGUCUGAGUACUAUGUAAUAGUUAAAACUUUCAACAACGGAUCUCUUGGUUCUG